AGACACACCUCAGAGGAAAAGUAAUGUGACCAUGGAAGAAAAGAUUUGAGUGCUGUGACAUCAAGCCAAGGAAGGCCUGGAGCCACCAAAAACUAGACAAGGCAAAUUGCCCAUAGAGCCUUCAGAGGGGGAAAUUUCAGAUAACUUGUUGAGAUCCUCCUGUAACCAGGUGAUUAUAUGGACACGAUCAACUUCUGGGGGCUAAUGAAGACAGACAAACACAUGGGGGCUGAGAUCAAUGAGACAAAAGUCACUCCUCUUUCUUAGUAGCAGAGCUGGGAUACAAACCCAGUCUCUACCUGUUGUUCUGGACCAAAGGCAAUUUUGACCCUCAACCCCAACCCUAGGAGACACAUGGAAAUGUUUGAAGACAUGUAUGGUUGUCACAGCUGGAUGCUAAAUGCUAUUAACAUUUACCAGAUAGAAGCCAGGAUUUCUGCCAAGCAUUCUACAAUGCACAAGACAGCCCUCCGCAGCCAAACAUUAUCCAGUCCCCACUGUCAAUACUGCCAAGGUUGAGAAACUCUGCGUAACGUGACCAGGAUCCUCAAUAUAUUGAUUCUUCCAUGGCUUAUGGUUUGAAUUGUUUCUUUGUAAAAAGGGCAUAUUGAAAUCCUAACCUCCGGUUCCUCAGAAUGUGAACUUCUUUGGAGAUAAAGUCAUUGCAGGUAUAAUUAGUUAAGAGGGGGUCAUGCCAGAGCAGGAUGGGCCUCUAAUCUAAUGACUGGUAUUCUUAUAAAGAGAAUGCCAUGUGUGGAUAGAUACAGAAACACAGGGAGAAUUCCACGUGAGGAUGGAAUGAUACACUUACAAGUCAUAGAAUGCCAAAGAUGACCAGGAAACCAGCAGAAAUUAGGAAGAGUCAAGGAAGGAUCCUUCCCUAAAGGCAUCAGGACAGCAUGACUCUGCUGACACCUUGAUUUUGGACUUUGAGCCUUCAGAACUGUGAUACAAAUAAGCAGCCCAGUUUGUGAUACUUUGUUAUGGCAGUCCUAGGAGGCUAAUACUUAUGCUUUCACUGAACUGUACUCCAUUAAUAUCCUCACUUGCUGCCUUGCCCAGUUGAAAUAAUGAUGAUUGCUAAAGCAAUGGAAUAUACGAUCUUGCACAACUAUAUUUAUUUCAAUCAGGAAGUAAAGAGAUUGAAAUCUGGGUAUAUGUUCCAGUAUUUAUCUAUCCAAAUUGAGUAAUAAAAUGUUGCAGGCAGGUAUGAUAAAAAGUUUGGGUAAGGAUGAAACUGGAAAGAAGUCGAGGACUUAUAUGAUUCACUAAAUUGAUAUACCAGUGGGUUCUCCAUUGACAUAGCACAACUCUUGAAAAGGGCCUUACCCUGUACACCUGAGCUGACUCUUCUUGGGGUAUGCUUUGUACGGGGUCACAUAAUCCAGGUUUUAAUUCCUUGAGCAAUGACCAAGAACCUCAGAUCCACAGCAUUGGUGUCAAAUCUCUGGCCAAGAACUCCAAGUGUAUAAUCUCAGCUAUUGUGCUGGGUCUGAAAUAGUGAUUUUCUUUUACUUUGUUGAUUAAAUGAUUUUGCAAACCUGAGACUGUACCAAAAAAA